GUGAGGAAUUUUCCGCAAUGGGCGAAAGCCUGACGGAGCAAUGUCGCGUGAAGGAUGAAGGCCUAUGGGUUGUAAACUUCUUUUCUUAGAGAAGAAUAUUGACGGUAUCUGAGGAAUAAGCAUCGGCUAACUCUGUGCCAGCAGCCGCGGUAAGACAGAGGAUGCAAGCGUUAUCCGGAUUCACUGGGUUUAAAGGGUGCGUAGGCGGUUUUAUAAGUCAGUGGUGAAAUCAACGGGCUCAACCUGUUAACUGCCAUUGAUACUGUAGGACUUGAAUAUGAGAGAGGUAGGCGGAAUGUUGCAUGUAGCGGUGAAAUGCUUAGAUAUGCUACGGAACACCGAUUGCGAAGGCAGCUUACUAUUUCAUGAUUGACGCUGAGGCACGAAAGCGUGGGUAGCGAACAGGAUUAGAUACCCGUGUAGUCC
rnacentral:rRNA from 1 species